rnacentral:rRNA from 1 species
AGUGAACGCUGGCGGUAGGCCUAACACAUGCGAGUCGAACGGCAGCACAGUAAGAGCUUGCUCUUACGGGUGGCGAGUGGCGGACGGUUGAGGAAUACAUCGGAAUCUACUUUUUCGUGGGGGAUAACGUCGGGAAACUUACCCUAAUACCGCAUACGACCUACGGGUGAAAUCAGCGGAUCUUCGGACCUUGCGCGAUUCGAUGAGCCGAUGUCUGAUUAGCUAGUUGGCGGGGUAAAGGCCCACCAAUGCGACGAUCCGUAGCUGGUCUGAGAGGAAGAUCAGCCACACUGGGACUGAGACACGGUCCAGACUCCUACGGGAGGCAGCAGUGGGGAAUAUUGGACAAUGGGCGAAAGCCUGAUCCAGCAAUACCGCGUGGGUGAAGAAGGACUUCGGGUUGUAAAGCCCUUUUGUUGGGAAAGAAAAGCAGCAGGUUAAUACCCCGCUGUUAUGACGGUACCCGAAGAAUAAGCACCGGCUAACUUCGUG